ACCAAAUGGGGACGGGGAUAGACAUA
rnacentral:piRNA from 1 species